rnacentral:rRNA from 1 species
GGUGAACGCUGGCGGUAGGCCUAACACAUGCAAGUCGAACGGCAGCAUAAUAAGCGCUUGCUCUUACGGGUGGCGAGUGGCGGGCGGGUGAGGAAUACAUAAGAUUCUACUUUUUCGUGGGGGAUAACGUAAGGCAACUUACGCUACUACCGAAUACGACCUACGGGUGAAAGCAGGGGAUCUUCGCACCUUUCGCGUUUGAAUUAGACGGUGUCGGAUUAGCUAGUUGGCGGGGUAAAGGCACACCAAGGCGACGAUCCGUAGCUGGUCUGAGAGGAUGAUCAGCCACACUGGAACUGAGACACGGUCCAGACUCCUACGGGAGGCAGCAGUGGGGAAUAUUCGACAAUGGGCGCAAGCCUGAUCCAGCAAUACCGCGUGGGUGAAGAAGGCCUUCGGGUUGUAAAGCCCUGUUGUUGGGAAAGAAAAGCAGCAGGUGAAUACCCCGCUGUUCUGACGGUACCCAAAGAAUAAGCACCGGCUAACUUCGUG